rnacentral:rRNA from 1 species
GUCGAGAAUCUUUCACAAUGGGGGCAACCCUGAUGGAGCGACGCCGCGUGGAGGAUAAGGUCUUCGGAUUGUAAACUCCUGUCAUGCGUGAACAAGGUUGCUUGGUUAAUACCUGGGCAAAUUGAUGGUAACGCAAGAGGAAGAGACGGCUAACUCUGUGCCAGCAGCCGCGGUAAUACAGAGGUCUCAAGCGUUGUUCGGAAUCACUGGGCGUAAAGGGUGCGUAGGUGGCGUGGUAAGUCAGAUGUGAAAGCCCAGGGCUCAGCCUCGGAACUGCAUCCGAUACUGCCAUGCUAGAGUACUGGAGAGGUGACUAGAAUUCUCGGUGUAGCAGUGAAAUGCGUAGAUAUCGAGAGGAAUACCAAAGGCGUAGGCAGGUCACUGGACAGUUACUGACACUGAGGCACGAAGGCCAGGGGAGCGAACGGGAUUAGAAACCCUAGUAGUCC